rnacentral:rRNA from 1 species
AUAACGGUCCUAAGGUAGCGAAAUUCCUUGUCGGGUAAGUUCCGACCUGCACGAAAGGCGCAACGACUUGGGCGCUGUCUCGACCAUGGACCCGGUGAAAUUGCACUGGUCGUGAAGAUGCGACUUACCCGCGGAAGGACGGAAAGACCCCGUGAACCUUCACUGCAGCUUGGCAUUGGCCGCUGGUCCCGCGUGUAGAGGAUAGGCAGGAGGCACAGAUCCGGAGGCGCCAGCCCCCGGGGAGCCGCCCUUGGAAUACUGCCCUCGCGCGACCGGCGUCCUAACCCGAGGCCGUCAACCGGCUCGGGGACCGUGCCAGGCGGGCAGUUUGACUGGGGCGGUCGCCUCCUAAAGGGUAACGGAGGCGCGCGAAGGUCCGCUCGGGACGGUCGGCAACCGUCCUCUUGAGUGCAAGAGCAUAAGCGGGCUUGACUGCGAGGCCUACAAGCCGAGCAGGUGCGAAAGCAGGCUCUAGUGAUCCGGCGGCCCCGAGUGGGUGGGCCGUCGCUCAACGGAUAAAAGGUACUCCGGGGAUAACAGGCUGAUCUUGCCCAAGAGUCCACAUCGACGGCAAGGUUUGGCACCUCGAUGUCGGCUCAUCGCAUCCUGGGGCUGGAGCAGGUCCCAAGGGUACGGCUGUUCGCCGUUUAAAGCGGUACGCGAGCUGGGUUCAGAACGUCGUGAGACAGUUCGGUCCCUAUCCUCCGUGGGCGCAGGAGAAUCGAUGGAGGCUGCCCCCAGUACGAGAGGACCGGGGUGGACGCACCUCCGGUGAACCGGUUGUCGACCAACGGCACGGCCGGGUAGCCGCGUGCGGCGCGGAUAACCGCUGAAGGCAUCUAAGCGGGAAGCCGUUCCAGGGAUUAGUUCUCCUUCCGGUAAGGGCCCAGGUAGACUACCUGGUCGAUAGACGGCAGGUGCAAGGGCGGCGACGUCCUCAGCCGAGCCGCACUAAUCGCCCGAGCUCUUCCGGAA